GGUUCGAGUGUUACGUCACAGUAUAUUUUUCAUAAUUAAAUUUCAUUUCCUGUUUCUAUUCCUGAUUCCUGUGAGAGUCAGGCGAGAGUCUUCCAGGCCCACCGCACACCCACACCUCUCUCGGUUGCUUCAAGGGUUCGAUGCUAUAUAGAAAAGAGGUGAACUUAUCGUCGGCGACCAAAUUUCCGGUUUUCCAAUUGUAAGCGAUCCGACUAAUGUGUAUUGGCAUUGGAAUCUUUUUGAUUCGAGCUUUCCCGACGAUUCCUUCAUAAUAGUGAAUGAUUUUAUCAUCUGCAGCGAUCACCAGAUGUGGUGCCUCGUUCUUCGGACUGCAGAGAUGAAACGAUCGAUCAAUCGAAAGUGGAACGCAGUCGAAUAUCUCUCGCUCUGCAGACCAAUCCAUAAACUCACAUUUAUUAUAAAUUAAUCGCUUCAAAACGGAUAACGAGGAACGAGACAGGCAUGAAGAUAGAAAAAAGCCGCACAAUA